GCCCUAUCUUUCCGUACGGCGCGAUAUCUUCCGGCUGCCAGACCCUAACUACACACAUUAAGACAUUUGACUGAAAUAACAAAGCUGGAUAAUUAGAGGUGUGGCUGCCCAUUUGAGGCAGUAAAGAAUCCAUUGGAUUGCCAACAGACAGAUCUUUAUCCUGGAUUUUCUGCUGAGAUCAACAGAUUGAGCUGUGCCUUCUCAUUUCCUCUUCUAUAGCUGUCUGAGCACUAGACAGUGGAAAGCGCAGUCAACUGUGGGUUUAUUUACUGGUUUCUAUACACCACCUCUAUUUCAAGAUCCAGCAUUGCCUCUCCAACCUUCCAACAGCAGACUCCAGCUUUGAAGAGUCGCAAGGCUGACAUCAAAAGAACGAGCUUCAACAAGUGUUCUUCUUAGGUUCUUGACAUGGCAGGUGACAGGGCCAACAGCACUCCUGCAGUAAAAACAGGGAGGGAAGGAGGAAAAAAAAGUUAAGUCAGAACAAUCAUUCACUGGAACAGCCUCCCCAAGGAUGUGGUGUAUCUGGAGGUUUUCAAGACACAAGUGGACAAUGCGCUAGAUAAUCUCUUCUCGCCUCCUUUUCCCAUGAAAGGUUGGACCAGAUGAUCUUUUGGGGUCCCUUCCAACUUGG